UACAGAGGUCCCAAGCGCUGUUCGGAUUCAUUGGGCGUAAAGGGUGCGUAGGCGGCGCGGUAAGUCGGGUGUGAAAUCUCGGAGCUUAACUCCGAAACUGCAUUCGAUACUGCCGUGCUUGAGGACUGGAGAGGAGACUGGAAUUUACGGUGUAGCGGUGAAAUGCGUAGAUAUCGUAAGGAAGACCAGUGGCGAAGGCGGGUCUCUGGACAGUUCCUGACGCUGAGGCACGAAGGCCAGGGGAGCAAACGGG
rnacentral:rRNA from 1 species